rnacentral:rRNA from 1 species
AUUGAACGCUGGCGGCAGGCCUAACACAUGCAAGUCGAACGAGUGGCGGACGGGUGAGUAAUGUCUGGGAAACUGCCCGAUGGAGGGGGAUAACUACUGGAAACGGUAGCUAAUACCGCAUACCAUCGGAUGUGCCCAGAUGGGAUUAGCUAGUAGGUGGGGUAACGGCUCACCUAGGCGACGAUCCCUAGCUGGUCUGAGAGGAUGACCGGCCAAACUGGAACGGAGACAGGGUCCAGACUCCUACGGAAGGCAGCGUGGGGGAAUAUUGCACAAUGGGCGCAAGCCUGAGGCAGCCAGGCCGCGGGGAUGUAGAAGGCCUUCGGGUUGUAAAGUACUUUCAGCGAGGAGGCGGUACUCGCAGAAGAAGCACCGGCUAACUCCGUGCCAGCAGCCGCGGUAAUAC